AACGAACGCUGGCGGCAGGCCUAACACAUGCAAGUCGAGCGGACCCUUCGGGGUUAGCGGCGGACGGGUGAGUGACGCGUGGGAAUAUGCCCUUCUCUACGGAAUAGUCCUGGGAAACUGGGGGUAAUACCGUAUACGCCCUUUGGGGGAAAGAUUUAUCGGGGAAGGAUUAGCCCGCGUUGGAUUAGGUAGUUGGUGGGGUAAUGGCCUACCAAGCCGACGAUCCAUAGCUGGUUUGAGAGGAUGAUCAGCCACACUGGGACUGAGACACGGCCCAGACUCCUACGGGAGGCAGCAGUGGGGAAUCUUAGACAAUGGGGGCAACCCUGAUCUAGCCAUGCCGCGUGAGUGAUGAAGGCCUUAGGGUUGUAAAGCUCUUUCAGCUGGGAAGAUAAUGACGGUACCAGCAGAAGAAGCCCCGGCUAACUCCGUG
rnacentral:rRNA from 1 species